rnacentral:rRNA from 1 species
AGCGAACGCUGGCGGCAUGCCUAACACAUGCAAGUCGAACGAGACCUUCGGGUCUAGUGGCGCACGGGUGCGUAACGCGUGGGAACCUGCCCUUAGGUUCGGAAUAACUCCCCGAAAGGGGUGCUAAUACCGGAUAAUGUCUUCGGACCAAAGAUUUAUCGCCUUUGGAUGGGCCUGCGUUGGAUUAGCUAGUUGGUUGGGUAAAAGCCUACCAAGGCGACGAUCCAUAGCUGGUCUGAGAGGAUGAUCAGCCACACUGGGACUGAGACACGGCCCAGACUCCUACGGGAGGCAGCAGUGGGGAAUAUUGGACAAUGGGCGAAAGCCUGAUCCAGCAAUGCCGCGUGAGUGAUGAAGGCCUUAGGGUUGUAAAGCUCUUUUACCCGGGAUGAUAAUGACAGUACCGGGAGAAUAAGCUCCGGCUAACUCCGUG